rnacentral:tRNA from 1 species
GUGAGAAUAGCUCAGCUGGUAGAGCACAGGAUUGUGGUUCCUGGGGCCGCGGGUUCGAAUCCCGUUUCUCACCCCA